rnacentral:tRNA from 1 species
GGAGGGGUUCCCGAGUGGCCAAAGGGAGCAGACUGUAAAUCUGUCGGCACUGCCUUCGAUGGUUCGAAUCCGUCCCCCUCCACCA